rnacentral:tRNA from 4 species
GGAGAGGUGCCGGAGCGGCUGAACGGGCACGACUGGAAAUCGUGUGACCGGGGUAACUCGGUCCGAGGGUUCGAAUCCCUCUCUCUCCG